rnacentral:rRNA from 1 species
ACGAGAGUCUUUAACUCAAGUGGCGGACGGGUGAGUAACACGUAAGAAUUUACCUUUAGGAGGGGGAUAACAACUGGAAACGAUUGCUAAUACCCCAUAUGCUUUCGAGUGAAAUGGAUUUUCCGCCUAAAGAGAAGCUUGCGGCUGAUUAGCUUGUUGGUGAGGUAAUGGCUUACCAAGGCGACGAUCAGUAUCUGGUUUGAGAGGACGAUCAGACACACUGGAACUGAGACACGGUCCAGACUCCUACGGGAGGCAGCAGUGGGGAAUUUUCCGCAAUGGGCGAAAGCCUGACGGAGCAAUACCGCGUGAGGGAUGACGGCCUAUGGGUUGUAAACCUCUUUUUUCAGGGAGGAAAAGAAUGACGUGUACCUGAAGAAUAAGCAUCGGCUAACUCCGUGCCAGCAGCCGCGGUAAGACGGAGGAUGCAAGUGUUAUCCGGAAUCACUGGGCGUANAGCGUCUGUAGGUGGUCAAAUAAGUCAACUGUUAAAUCUUGAGGCUCAACCUCAAAAUUGCAGUCGAAACUAU